rnacentral:lncRNA from 1 species
UCAUAUAUAUGUAUGCAUGGCAUUUUAAAACAUACUUUCAUUUAAAUUCAAUUUCUGGGAAAAUCGAUAGUAUAUAGGUAAAUACAGAAAAUACUGCCCACUCACUGGUAAGUCGAAGGGUCGUAACCCCCGUGACGUCCCUGGAUGCGCUCGUCCUCGGGAUAGGUAUCACCUAUAUGCGAAACAACUAUAAAAACGUUAAUUAAAGCACAUAACCGACAAUUCGUAAUAACUUUUCAUAUGGUGCU